rnacentral:rRNA from 2 species
CGGAGGAAAAGAAACCAACAGGGAUUGCCUCAGUAACGGCGAGUGAAGCGGCAAAAGCUCAAAUUUUAAAGCUGGCACCUUCGGUGUCCGCGUUGUAAUUUUGUGAGGCAUCUCCGGGUAGGGCGCCGGCCUAAGUUCCUUGGAACAGGACGUCAUAGAGGGUGAGAAUCCCGUGCUUGGCUGGCUGUCCCCGUCCAUGUGAGGUGUCUUCGACGAGUCGAGUUGUUUGGGAAUGCAGCUCAAAAUGGGUGGUAAAUUUCAUCUAAAGCUAAAUAUUGGUGGGAGACCGAUAGCGCACAAGUAGAGUGAUCGAAAGAUGAAAAGCACUUUGAAAAUAGAGUUAAAAAGUACGUGAAAUUGUUGAAAGGGAAGCGCUUGAGACCAGACUUCGGUGGGGAGUGAUCAGCUGUCCUUCUGGGCGGUGCACUUGCUCCCCUCCGGGCCAGCAUCGGUUGGGACGGCGGGAUAAAGGUCCCGGGAAUGUGGCUCCUCUCGGGGAGUGUUAUAGCCCGGGUGAAUGCCGCCAGCCCCGACCGAGGACCGCGCCUUCGGGCUAGGAUGCUUGGCAUAAUGGUCUUCAGCGACCCGUCU